rnacentral:rRNA from 1 species
AGUGAACGCUGGCGGUAGGCCUAACACAUGCAAGUCGAACGGCAGCACAGUAAGAGCUUGCUCUUACGGGUGGCGAGUGGCGGACGGGUGAGGAAUACAUCGAAAUCUACUUUUUCGUGGGGGAUAACGUAGGGAAACUUACGCUACUACCGCAUACGACCUACGGGUGAAAGCAGGGGAUCUUCGGACCUUGCCCGAUUGAAUGAGCCGAUGUCGGAUUAGCUAGUUGGCGGGGUAAAGGCCCAACAAGGCGACGAUCCGUAGCUGGUCUGAGAGGAUGAUCAGACACACUAGAACUGAGACACGGUCCAGACUCCUACGGGAGGCAGCAGUGGGGAAUAUUGGACAAUGGGCGCAAGCCUGAUCCAGCCAUACCGCGUGAGUGAAGGAGGCCUUCGGGUUUUAAAGCCCUUUUGUUGGGAAAGAAAAGCAGCAGGUUAAUACCCCGCUGUUCUGACGGUACCCAAAGAAUAAGCACCGGCUAACUUCGUG